GACGAACGCUGGCGGCAUGCCUAAUACAUGCAAGUCGAGCGAACAGAUGAAGUGCUUGCACUUCUGACGUUAGCGGCGAACGGGUGAGUAACACGUAAGGAAUCUACCUAUAAGCGGGGGAUAACAUUCGGAAACGGGUGCUAAUACCGCAUAAUAUCUUCUUCCGCAUGGAAGAAGAUUGAAAGACGGCUCUGCUGUCACUUAUAGAUGACCUUGCGGUGCAUUAGUUAGUUGGUGGGGUAAUGGCCUACCAAGACGAUGAUGCAUAGCCGACCUGAGAGGGUGAUCGGCCACAUUGGGACUGAGACACGGCCCAAACUCCUACGGGAGGCAGCAGUAGGGAAUCUUCCGCAAUGGGCGAAAGCCUGACGGAGCAAUGCCGCGUGAGUGAAGAAGGCCUUCGGGUCGUAAAACUCUGUUAUAAGGGAAGAACAAAUUGUAGAGUAACUGCUACAGUCUUGACGGUAUCUUAUCAGAAAGCCACGGCUAACUACGUGCCAGCAGCCGCGGUAA
rnacentral:rRNA from 1 species